rnacentral:tRNA from 1 species
GCCAUUAUAGUGUAAUUAACACAUUACAUUUUCAUUGUAAAAAUAUUUUUAAUUAAAGGUA